CCACAAUCCAAAGAUUUUGAUAUUCCAAUUUUUGUUUUAAUAUUGGGUCUUUCAUAUUUCUGCAACGAUCUUAUGUCGCGAUGACCAGUCCUCUACAUGACGAAUUUUUGCGGUAUAUUUUGCGUUAUAAACAUAUCUUCGUUGCUGUUUCUGUCGUUCAUAGUUUAACCAUCGCCCACUCUCCAUGCAUGCAUACAUGCAUACCUGAAGAAAAUGGCCAUCUACAUGUCUAGCUAAAUUUCUAUAAUUUACAGUGUGCUGUACGAACAAUCAUUUGGAAUAUUAAUUCAUUUUCC